ensembl:miRNA microRNA let-7f-1
AAGAUUGCUCUAUCAGAGUGAGGUAGUAGAUUGUAUAGUUGUGGGGUAGUGAUUUUACCCUGUUCAGGAGAUAACUAUACAAUCUAUUGCCUUCCCUGAGGAGUAGAC